AGACCCGAAACCCGGUGAUCUAGCCAUGGGCAGGUUGAAGGUUGGGUAACACUAACUGGAGGACCGAACCGACUAAUGUUGAAAAAUUAGCGGAUGACCUGUGGCUGGGGGUGAAAGGCCAAUCAAACCGGGAGAUAGCUGGUUCUCCCCGAAAGCUAUUUAGGUAGCGCCUCGUGAAUUCAUCUCCGGGGGUAGAGCACUGUUUCGGCUAGGGGGCCAUCCCGGCUUACCAACCCGAUGCAAACUGCGAAUACCGGAGAAUGUUAUCACGGGAGACACACGGCGGGUGCUAACGUCCGUCGUGAAGAGGGAAACAACCCAGACCGCCAGCUAAGGUCCCAAAGUCAUGGUUAAGUGGGAAACGAUGUGGGAAGGCCCAGACAGCCAGGAUGUUGGCUUAGAAGCAGCCAUCAUUUAAAGAAAGCGUAAUAGCUCACUGGUCGAGUCGGCCUGCGCGGAAGAUGUAACGGGGCUAAACCAUGCACCGAAGCUGCGGCAGCGACGCUGAUGCGUUGUUGGGUAGGGGAGCGUUCUGUAAGCCUGUGAAGGUGUGUCGUGAGGCAUGCUGGAGGUAUCAGAAGUGCGAAUGCUGACAUAAGUAACGAUAAAGCGGGUGAAAAGCCCGCUCGCCGGAAGACCAAGGGUUCCUGUCCAACGUUAAUCGGGGCAGGGUGAGUCGACCCCUAAGGCGAGGCCGAAAGGCGUAGUCGAUGGGAAACGGGUUAAUAUUCCCGUACUUGGUGUUACUGCGAAGGGGGGACGGAGAAGGCUAUGUUGGCCGGGCGACGGUUGUCCCGGUUUAAGCGUGUAGGUGUGUGUUCCAGGUAAAUCCGGUUCACUUUAACACUGAGGCGUGACGACGAGGCACUACGGUGCUGAAGCAACAAAUGCCCUGCUUCCAGGAAAAGCCUCUAAGCAUCAGGUAACAUCAAAUCGUACCCCAAACCGACACAGGUGGUCAGGUAGAGAAUACCAAGGCGCUUGAGAGAACUCGGGUGAAGGAACUAGGCAAAAUGGUGCCGUAACUUCGGGAGAAGGCACGCUGACACGUAGGUGAAGUGAUUUACUCAUGGAGCUGAAGUCAGUCGAAGAUACCAGCUGGCUGCAACUGUUUAUUAAAAACACAGCACUGUGCAAACACGAAAGUGGACGUAUACGGUGUGACGCCUGCCCGGUGCCGGAAGGUUAAUUGAUGGGGUCAGCGCAAGCGAAGCUCCUGAUCGAAGCCCCGGUAAACGGCGGCCGUAACUAUAACGGUCCUAAGGUAGCGAAAUUCCUUGUCGGGUAAGUUCCGACCUGCACGAAUGGCGUAAUGAUGGCCAGGCUGUCUCCACCCGAGACUCAGUGAAAUUGAACUCGCUGUGAAGAUGCAGUGUACCCGCGGCAAGACGGAAAGACCCCGUGAACCUUUACUAUAGCUUGACACUGAACAUUGAGCCUUGAUGUGUAGGAUAGGUGGGAGGCUUUGAAGUGUGGACGCCAGUCUGCAUGGAGCCGACCUUGAAAUACCACCCUUUAAUGUUUGAUGUUCUAACGUGGACCCGUAAUCCGGGUUGCGGACAGUGUCUGGUGGGUAGUUUGACUGGGGCGGUCUCCUCCUAAAGAGUAACGGAGGAGCACGAAGGUUGGCUAAUCCUGGUCGGACAUCAGGAGGUUAGUGCAAUGGCAUAAGCCAGCUUGACUGCGAGCGUGACGGCGCGAGCAGGUGCGAAAGCAGGUCAUAGUGAUCCGGUGGUUCUGAAUGGAAGGGCCAUCGCUCAACGGAUAAAAGGUACUCCGGGGAUAACAGGCUGAUACCGCCCAAGAGUUCAUAUCGACGGCGGUGUUUGGCACCUCGAUGUCGGCUCAUCACAUCCUGGGGCUGAAGUAGGUCCCAAGGGUAUGGCUGUUCGCCAUUUAAAGUGGUACGCGAGCUGGGUUUAGAACGUCGUGAGACAGUUCGGUCCCUAUCUGCCGUGGGCGCUGGAGAACUGAGGGGGGCUGCUCCUAGUACGAGAGGACCGGAGUGGACGCAUCACUGGUGUUCGGGUUGUCAUGCCAAUGGCACUGCCCGGUAGCUAAAUGCGGAAGAGAUAAGUGCUGAAAGCAUCUAAGCACGAAACUUGCCCCGAGAUGAGUUCUCCCUGAGACUUAG
rnacentral:rRNA from 1 species